rnacentral:rRNA from 1 species
GAGUUUGAUCCUGGCUCAGGACGAACGCUGGCGGCGUGCCUAAUACAUGCAAGUCGAACGCACUCUCGUUUAGAUUGAAGGAGCUUGCUCCUGAUUGAUAAACAUUUGAGUGAGUGGCGGACGGGUGAGUAACACGUGGGUAACCUGCCCUAAAGUGGGGGAUAACAUUUGGAAACAGGUGCUAAUACCGCAUAAAACCUAACACCGCAUGGUGUAGGGUUGAAAGAUGGUUUCGGCUAUCACUUUAGGAUGGACCCGCGGUGCAUUAGUUAGUUGGUGAGGUAAAGGCUCACCAAGACCGUGAUGCAUAGCCGACCUGAGAGGGUAAUCGGCCACACUGGGACUGAGACACGGCCCAGACUCCUACGGGAGGCAGCAGUAGGGAAUCUUCCACAAUGGACGAAAGUCUGAUGGAGCAACGCCGCGUGAGUGAAGAAGGUUUUCGGAUCGUAAAACUCUGUUGUUGGAGAAGAAUGUAUCUGAUAGUAACUGAUCAGGUAGUGACGGUAUCCAACCAGAAAGCCACGGCUAACUACGUGCCAGCAGCCGCGGUAAUACGUAGGUGGCAAGCGUUGUCCGGAUUUAUUGGGCGUAAAGCGAGCGCAGGCGGUUUCUUAAGUCUGAUGUGAAAGCCUUCGGCUCAACCGAAGAAGUGCAUCGGAAACUGGGAAACUUGAGUGCAGAAGAGGACAGUGGAACUCCAUGUGUAGCGGUGAAAUGCGUAGAUAUAUGGAAGAACACCAGUGGCGAAGGCGGCUGUCUGGUCUGUAACUGACGCUGAGGCUCGAAAGCAUGGGUAGCAAACAGAAGUAGAUACCCUGGUAGUCCAUGCCGUAAACG